rnacentral:rRNA from 1 species
AGCAGUCGCCACGGUAAUACAGAGGGUGCAAGCGUUAAUCGGAUUUACUGGGCGUAAAGGGCGCGUAGGUGGUUAUGUAAGUGAGAUGUGAAAUCCCCGGGCUCAACCUGGGAACUGCAUCUUAUACUGCGUAGCUGGAGUGCAGUAGAGGGUAGUGGAAUUUCCGGUGUAGCGGUGAAAUGCGUUGAGAUCGGAAAGAACACCAACGGCGAAAGCACUCUGCUGGGCCGACACUGACACUGAGAGACGAAAGCUAGGGGAGCAAAUGGGAUUAGAGACCCCAGUAGUCCCUGUCUCUUAUAC